GAGACGACAAUGAUCCCAAGUAUGACUCGGGCAGCCACACCCUGGGAAGGCUUUCUGGGGGCAAGUCCCCACGUUGCAUACCACGCUUCUUCAGAGAAGGCUUCCGGGCAGAGGCAAGGGAUGAGCAGGCUCUGCUGAGGGUCGGGGCGCCCUGAAGCCUGCCUCCUGUCCUCUUCCAGGCUGCUAGAACUCGGGAGUCAAGGGGCAUGUGGGUGGGCCCAGAGGAGCUCCCACAGCAGACCCAUCUGAUAGAUGAGGAAGAGCAGGCCCAGAGAGCUGAAGAAACUUGUCCAUGUGCACAUACCUAGGAAAUGGCAAAACACUCAAAUCUACUUCUCAACCACUCA